AAUAAGUGUAGUUUUGCACUGUUUAUGUUCAACGUUUAAUCGUCCGUCUUAUGUGAAAUUUUUCUAUAAUUAGUAUUUUUAUUAUUAUUAGAUGAUAAAACGUAAAUAGUACUUUAUACGUAACUAUUUUUUAAAUUUUUCAAAUAAGACGAACACGUUGGAUACGGAUAUCGACUGCACUUAUC
rfam:Oryza punctata chromosome 11, whole genome shotgun sequence.